ACGGCCGCGGUAUAUGACCGUGCAAAGGUAGCAUAAUCAUUUGUUCCCCAAUUAGGGACUAGUAUGAAUGGCUAAACGAGGACUCAACUGUCUCUUAUUCUCAAUCAGUGAAAUUGACCUUCCAGUGAAGAGGCUGGAAUAAAACAAUAAGACGAGAAGACCCUAUGGAGCUUUAAUUAACUAGCCUAAUUAUAAUUCCUAAAACCUAAUGGAACAAAACCAUAAACAUUAGGCUAACAAUUUUGGUUGGGGUGACCUCGGAGAACAAAAAACCCUCCGAAUGAUUAUAGCACAGACAAACAAGUCAAAGCAACCCACUAUAUCUAAUUGACCCAAAAAUACUUUGACCAACGGACCAAGUUACCCUAGGGAUAACAGCGCAAUCCUAUUUAAGAGUCCAUAUCGACAAUUAGGGUUUACGACCUCGAUGUUGGAUCAGGACAUCCCAAUGGUGCAGAAGCUAUUAAAGGUUCGUUUGUUCAA
rnacentral:rRNA from 1 species